rnacentral:piRNA from 1 species
UAACAUGGAAUUGUCAAGCUUUUGCAGGU